rnacentral:rRNA from 1 species
UACGUAGGAUGCAAGCGUUGUCCGGAAUUAUUGGGCGUAAAGAGCGCGCAGGCGGUAUGACAAGUCAGAUGUGAAAGAGGCCGGCUUAACCGGCAAGGGUCAUUUGAAACUGUCAGACUAGAGUGCAGCAGAGGAUAGUGGAAUUCCCGGUGUAGUGGUGAAAUGCGUAGAUAUCGGGAGGAACGACCAGUGGCGAAGGCGACUAUCUGGGCUGCAACUGACGCUGAGCGCGAAGGCUAGGGUAGCAAACAGG